UUAUAUGGUCAAGAAGAGAAGCGCAAACGGUGGAUGCCUUGGCAGUAAGAGGCGAAGAAGGACGUGGAAUCCUGCGAAAAGCUAUGGGGAGCUGGAAACGAGCGUUGAGCCAUAGAUGUCCGAAUGGGGGAACCCGGCUGCAGCGAUGCGGUCAUUUGCAUUUGAAUACAUAGGAUGCAAAGGCGAACUCGGGGAACUGAAACAUCUAAGUACCCGAAGGAAAAGAAAUCAAGAGAGAUUCUCCAAGUAGCGGCGAGCGAACGGGGAGGAGCCUGGCGUGAUUUAUUAUUGAACUGAGUAGAACAAUUUGGGAAAGUUGGCCGUAGAGGGUGAAAGCCCCGUAUACGAAGGUUUGAUGAGGAACUAGGCACGCGAACAAGUAGGCCGGGACACGUGAAAUCCUGGUUGAAGAUGGGUGGACCAUCAUCCAAGGCUAAAUACUACUUACUGACCGAUAGUGAACCAGUACCGUGAGGGAAAGGUGAAAAGAACCCCGGAGAGGGGAGUGAAAUAGAAUCUGAAACCGUUUGCGUACAAGCAGUGGGAGCAUAGUUUAGGCUGUGUGACUGCGUACCUUUU
rnacentral:rRNA from 1 species